AGAGUUUGAUCCUGGCUCAGGAUGAACGCUGGCGGCGUGCUUAACACAUGCAAGUCGAACGGUGAACACGGAGCUUGCUCUGUGGGAUCAGUGGCGAACGGGUGAGUAACACGUGAGCAACCUGCCCCUGACUCCGGGAUAAGCGCUGGAAACGGCGUCUAAUACUGGAUAUGUGACGUGACCGCAUGGUCUGCGUCUGGAAAGAAUUUCGGUUGGGGAUGGGCUCGCGGCCUAUCAGCUUGUUGGUGAGGUAAUGGCUCACCAAGGCGUCGACGGGUAGCCGGCCUGAGAGGGUGACCGGCCACACUGGGACUGAGACACGGCCCAGACUCCUACGGGAGGCAGCAGUGGGGAAUAUUGCACAAUGGGCGCAAGCCUGAUGCAGCAACGCCGCGUGAGGGACGACGGCCUUCGGGUUGUAAACCUCUUUUAGCAGGGAAGAAGCGAAAGUGACGGUACCUGCAGAAAAAGCGCCGGCUAACUACGUGCCAGCAGCCGCGGUAAUACGUAGGGCGCAAGCGUUAUCCGGAAUUAUUGGGCGUAAAGAGCUCGUAGGCGGUUUGUCGCGUCUGCUGUGAAAUCCGGAGGCUCAACCUCCGGCCUGCAGUGGGUACGGGCAGACUAGAGUGCGGUAGGGGAGAUUGGAAUUCCUGGUGUAGCGGUGGAAUGCGCAGAUAUCAGGAGGAACACCGAUGGCGAAGGCAGAUCUCUGGGCCGUAACUGACGCUGAGGAGCGAAAGGGUGGGGAGCAAACAGGAUUAGAUACCCUGGUAGUCCAA
rnacentral:rRNA from 1 species